AUCGUCGGCCACAGAAUUGAGAAAGUACCGAAUCCCGUCCGCUCUUCGAAGUUUGAAACUCAAUAUCGCCCGGUUAGUACCAUCGUGGGGGACCAGAUGGGAAUCCCGGGUGCUGACGGUU
rfam:Kwoniella heveanensis BCC8398 unplaced genomic scaffold supercont1.30, whole genome shotgun sequence.